rnacentral:rRNA from 1 species
GAAACCAACAGGGAUUGCCUCAGUAACGGCGAGUGAAGCGGCAAAAGCUCAAAUUUGAAAUCUAGCACUUUCAGUGUUCGAGUUGUAAUUUGAAGAAGGUAACUUUGGUUUUGGCUCUUGUCUAUGUUCCUUGGAACAGGACGUCACAGAGGGUGAGAAUCCCGUGCGAUGAGAUGCCCAAUUCCAUGUAAAGUGCUUUCGAAGAGUCGAGUUGUUUGGGAAUGCAGCUCUAAGUGGGUGGUAAAUUCCAUCUAAAGCUAAAUAUUGGCGAGAGACCGAUAGCGAACAAGUACAGUGAUGGAAAGAUGAAAAGAACUUUGAAAAGAGAGUGAAAAAGUACGUGAAAUUGUUGAAAGGGAAGGGCUUGAGAUCAGACUUGGUAUUUUGCGUUCCCUUCCUUUUUGGUUGGGUUCCUCGCAGUUUACUGGGCCAGCAUCGGUUUGGAUGGUAGGAUAAUGACAUUGGAAUGUAGCUUUACUUCGGUGAAGUGUUAUAGACUUUGUUGAUACUGCCUAUCUAGACCGAGGACUG